rnacentral:rRNA from 1 species
AUGGCGCAGCUCCCGCCCAAGAUCCCGACGGCGGCGACCGGGGCGCACCACUGGCCCGGCGCCGGCGUGGAGCACCACGGCCACGGGCCCGCCGCGGUGUGGGCGGACGAGUUCGCCGAGUUCGCGGCGGCGCGCCGGGGCGCGCACCGCAGGUCGCUCAGCGACUCGGUGGCCUUCGUGGAGAUGGCGCCGGGAGGCUGCGGCGGGGCCGGCGACUUCGACAGGCUGGACGACGACCAGCUCAUGUCCAUGUUCCCCGACGAGGGAGGGUCGACGGCCCCGGGGUCCGAGAACGGCACCAGCGACAGCGACGGCGACAAGCACGGCAAGGACCGGUACGACGACGGGCACAACGACGAUGCUAACCCGGAGGAGCCGGGGCCGGGGCAAGCCACGCCGACCUCGUCCACGGAGACGAUCCGCGACCCCAAGAGGGUCAAGAGGAUACUGGCUAAUCGCCAGUCGGCUCAGAGAUCUCGGGUGAGGAAGCUGCAGUACAUCUCCGAGCUCGAGCGGUGCGUCACAACGCUGCAGAACGAGGUGUCCGUACUGUCUCCCCGGGUGGCAUUUCUGGAUCAGCAGCGGACGAUCCUCACCGUCGGCAACAGCCACCUCAAGCAGCGGAUCGCAGCUCUGGCGCAGGACAAGCUUUUCAAGGACGCUCAUCAGGAGGCGCUCAAGGAGGAGAUCGAGAGGCUGCGGCAGGUGUACCAGCAGCAGAACCUCAGGAUGUCGUCCGGCGCGGGCGCGGCCUCCGACCACGGCGGGCCGCCCCCUGUGCGCGCGGAGAAGGAGCUCAUGAGCUGA